AGAGAGAGACAUGCGCGCAUAUCAAUAAGCGGAGGAAAAGAAACUAACUAGGAUUCCCUCAGUAACGGCGAGUGAAGCGGGAAGAGCUCAAAUUUGAAAUCUUCAAGGUUCUACCUUGACGAAUUGUAGUUUAAAGAAGUGUUUUCUGUUGGAGUUUUGGUAAAAGUUCUUUGGAAUAGGACAUCAUAGAGGGUGAGAAUCCCGUAUUUGACCUUUACUUUCAACUUUGUGAUACACUUUCAAAGAGUCGGAUUGUUUGGGAAUGCAGUCCAAAAUGGGUGGUAAAUUUCAUCUAAAGCUAAAUAUUGGCGAGAGACCGAUAGCGAACAAGUACCGUGAGGGAAAGAUGAAAAGAACUUUGAAAAGAGAGUUAAACAGUACGUGAAAUUGUCAAAAGGGAAGCGUUUGACACCAGUGUUGUUUUUCUGAAAAUCAAUUAAAGAACUGUUUAUGCUAAGCUGUUUAGACUUUAUCAGCUAUCUGUUUAGUUUUGAGCUUUUCUUUAAUGCACUUUUCAGUUAACAAGUCAACAUCAAUUUCUUUUGCUGUAAAAAAGCUUGAGGAAGGUGGCUUGAGAUUCGUCUUAAGUGUUUAUAGCCUCUUGCCUAUGCAGUCGGAGAGAUUGAGGUCUGCAGCGUAGAUCCUUCGGGGUUAGAUACAUUUGUGCUAAGUUAUAGCCUUUCAUAGACAACUUGUUGACUAUGAUCAGUCAUGUAGCUUACUCGCUUAUGCUAUUUUACCUACGCUUAGGAUGUUGAUGUGAUACUGCGAGCA
rnacentral:rRNA from 1 species